rnacentral:rRNA from 1 species
AAUCCAUAGGUUAAUGAGGCGAACCGGGGGAACUGAAACAUCUAAGUACCCCGAGGAAAAGAAAUCAACCGAGAUUCCCCCAGUAGCGGCGAGCGAACGGGGAGGAGCCCAGAGCCUGAAUCAGCAUGUGUGUUAGUGGAAGCGUCUGGAAAGGCGCGCGAUACAGGGUGACAGCCCCGUACACAAAAGCGCAUGUGCUGUGAGCUCGAUGAGUAGGGCGGGACACGUGGUAUCCUGUCUGAAUAUGGGGGGACCAUCCUCCAAGGCUAAAUACUCCUGACUGACCGAUAGUGAACCAGUACCGUGAGGGAAAGGCGAAAAGAACCCCGGCGAGGGGAGUGAAAAAGAACCUGAAACCGUGUACGUACAAGCAGUGGGAGCACCCUUCGGGGUGUGACUGCGUACCUUUUGUAUAAUGGGUCAGCGACUUAUAUUCUGUAGCAAGGUUAACCGAAUAGGGGAGCCGGAGGGAAACCGAGUCUUAAUUGGGCGUUAAGUUGCAGGGUAUAGACCCGAAACCCGGUGAUCUAGCCAUGGGCAGGUUGAAGGUUGGGUAACACUAACUGGAGGACCGAACCGACUAAUGUUGAAAAAUUAGCGGAUGACCUGUGGCUGGGGGUGAAAGGCCAAUCAAACCGGGAGAUAGCUGGUUCUCCCCGAAAGCUAUUUAGGUAGCGCCUCGUGAAUUCAUCUCCGGGGGUAGAGCACUGUUUCGGCUAGGGGGCCAUCCCGGCUUACCAACCCGAUGCAAACUGCGAAUACCGGAGAAUGUUAUCACGGGAGACACACGGCGGGUGCUAACGUCCGUCGUGAAGAGGGAAACAACCCAGACCGCCAGCUAAGGUCCCAAAGUCAUGGUUAAGUGGGAAACGAUGUGGGAAGGCCCAGACAGCCAGGAUGUUGGCUUAGAAGCAGCCAUCAUUUAAAGAAAGCGUAAUAGCUCACUGGUCGAGUCGGCCUGCGCGGAAGAUGUAACGGGGCUAAACCAUGCACCGAAGCUGCGGCAGCGAACGUAUCACCCAAGACAACUUUGCGGAGUUGACGAUUGACGGAGCGAAGCGACGUCAAAGCGUUCAUUAAAGUCGAGUUGGCUUAGGGAUACGUUCGUUGGGUAGGGGAGCGUUCUGUAAGCCUGUGAAGGUGUGCUGUGAGGCAUGCUGGAGGUAUCAGAAGUGCGAAUGCUGACAUAAGUAACGAUAAAGCGGGUGAAAAGCCCGCUCGCCGGAAGACCAA